rnacentral:rRNA from 1 species
CCUACGGGAGGCAGCAGUGGGGAAUAUUGCACAAUGGGGGAAACCCUGAUGCAGCGACGCCGCGUGAGUGAAGAAGUAUUUCGGUAUGUAAAGCUCUAUCAGCAGGGAAGAAAAUGCCGGUACCUGAGUAAGAAGCCCCGGCUAACUACGUGCCAGCAGCCGCGGUAAUACGUAGGGGGCAAGCGUUAUCCGGAUUUACUGGGUGUAAAGGGAGCGUAGACGGCAGCACAAGUCAGGAGUGAAAUGCCGGGGCUUAACCCCGGAACUGCUUUGGAAACUGUGCGGCUAGAGUGCAGGAGAGGUAAGUGGAAUUCCUAGUGUAGCGGUGAAAUGCGUAGAUAUUAGGAGGAACACCAGUGGCGAAGGCGGCUUACUGGACUGUAACUGACGUUGAGGCUCGAAAGCGUGGGGAGCAAACAGGAUUAGAUACCCUUGUAGUC